CUACGGGGCGCUGCAGUGGGGAAUAUUGCACAAUGGGCGCAAGCCUGAUGCAGCAACGCCGCGUGAGGGAUGAAGGCCUUCGGGUUGUAAACCUCUUUUAGCAGGGAAGAAGCGAAAGUGACGGUACCUGCAGAAAAAGCACCGGCUAACUACGUGCCGGCAGCCGCGGUAAUACGUAGGGUGCAAGCGUUGUCCGGAAUUAUUGGGCGUAAAGAGCUCGUAGGCGGUUUGUCACGUCUGCUGUGAAAAUCCAAGGCUCAACCUUGGACUUGCAGUGGGUACGGGCAGGCUAGAGUGCGGUAGGGGAGAGGGGAAUUCCUGGUGUAGCGGUGAAAUGCGCAGAUAUCAGGAGGAACACCAAUGGCGAAGGCACAUCUCUGGGCCGUAACUGACGCUGAGGAGCGAAAGCGUGGGGAGCGAACAGGAUUAGAUACCCCUGUAGUC
rnacentral:rRNA from 1 species